rnacentral:lncRNA from 1 species
UAUUGUAACAAAAUCCAACUAGGUCCCUCAAAAAUCGAAUAUUGCAACAGCCCGGUCUGGCCAGUUUUCGCCUAGAGGGACCGGUCUCUCCCCAGCAGGGACCGGUCUCUCGUUGCGAACCCGAGAAACCAACGUUCGGGAACCGGUCUCUCCCUGCGCGGGACCGGUCCCUCACUGCGUAGACGCGCUCGGGGACCGGUCUCACCCGCCAGGGACCGGUUGCCUCAGGGCUGCCGCAACACUGCUCGCUGGGGGACCGGUCUCUCCUUUUAGGGACCGGUCCCCGAGAGUGAAAACUCUCAGGACUCGUCCAGAACUCAGAUUUUCGAACUUUUUGGAUCGGAAAACAUUCUACGACCCUCCACCAAGUGUGGAAAAGCUCGAAACACAUCAAAUCAUUCGAAUCUCACAAUUUGCAAAGGUCCAGUGUGUUACAUUCACCCCUCCUAAAAAGGAGUUUCGUCCACGAAACUCGAAAUGACAAGUACCUCAAGCCUCCAUCUGAAAAAGAUGGGGAUAGCGCUCCCGCAGUGCGCUCUCCAACUCCCAAGUGGCCUCGCGCUCGUCGUGGUUGCUCCGAAGCACCUUCACGUAGGGAAUCUCACGGUUCCGCAAUCAUUUUACUUCGCGAGCCUGAAUCCUCAAAGGCUGCUCCUCAAAGCUCAAAUCAUCCCUCAGCUCCAUAGGUGUAGCAUCCAAUACGUGAGCCGGAUCGUGGAUGUACUUCCGAGGGACCGAUACAUGGAACACAUUGUAUACACCCGAUAGGUUCGGCGGUAGAGCAAGUCGAUACGCCACGGGGCCUACACGCUCCAAAACCUCAAACGGUCUAAUGUAUCAGGGGCUCAGCUUACCCCGGAUUCCAAAUCUUCUAAUUCCUCGAGUCGACGAGACUUUCAAGAAGACGUGGUCUCCAAUCUGAAACUCCAAGUCUCGUCGCCGCCUGUCAGCGUAAUUCCUCUGCCUACUCUGGGCCGUCAACAAUCGCUCCCGAGCAAUGCGAACCUUAUCCUCUGCUUCCUGGAGCACAUCUCGGCCUAAAGCCAAUCUCUCGCCAACUUCACUCCAAUGAAGUGGUGAUCUACACUUCCGUCCAUAGAGUGCCUCGAACGGUGCCAUCCUGAUGCUUGCUUGAUAACUGUUGUUAUAAGCAAACUCUGCCAUCGGUAGAUGCUGCGACCAUCCUCCCUGGAAGUCAAUCACACAGGCUCGAAGCAUGUCCUCAAGAGUCUGAAUAGUACGCUCUGACUGCCCGUCACUCUGGGGAUGGAAAGCUGUACUGAAGUCUGAGCGCGUACCGAAAGCAUCCUGUAAGCUCUUCCAAAAGUGAGAUACAAAACUGGGGUCUCGAUCUGAAACGAUAGAAGUAGGUACCCCGUGCAAUCGCACAAUCUCAUCCAAGUAUACCUGUGCGAGUCUCUCACCAGUCCAAGUAGUGUGGAUAGGUAUGAAAUGUGCCGAUUUCGUCAAUCUAUCCACAAUCACCCAAAUAGCGUCAUGCCCGGCCUGUGAGCGAGGCAGUCCCAUCACGAAGUCCAUGGUGAUCUUUUCCCACUUCCACACUAGAAUCAGUAGGCUCUGCAGCUUUCCCGCAGGAACUCGGUGCUCAGCCUUCACCUGUUGGCAAGUUAAACAUCUAGCAACAAACUCACCAACAUCCUUUUUCAUUCCGGGCCACCAAUAAAGUAAUUUCAAAUCCUUGUACAUCUUGGUGCCUCCCAGAUGUAUAGCAUACGGUGCUCGGUGUGCUUCUUGAAGGAUGUCCUCUUUAAUGCUCAAGUCCGCCGGUACACAAAGUCGUCCGCGGAAACGCAUCAAUCCAUCACCGUCUAAAGUGAAGUCACCGGUGCAACCAUCAACUAUCUUAGCUCGAAUCUUUUGCAACUCCGAGUCGGAAGUUUGCUUUUCUUUAAUCCUUUCUAUAAGUGUAGGUUGCACCACCAAAGUCAUCAGUCUCAAAGGUGUAUCAGGAGCCACCACCUCCAACUCCAACCGCUUCAUCUGCUCGAUCAACGGCGAUUGAGUAACCACAAGCAUUGCUAAGUUUUCCGUCGAUUUCCUACUUAGCGCAUCAGCCACCACGUUAGCCUUGCCCCGGUGGUAAAGUAUCAUCAAAUCAUAAUCCUUGAGUAGCUCCAACCAUCUGCGCUGCCUCAAGUUCAACUCCUUCUGAGUGAAUAGAUAUUUUAAGCUUUUGUGAUCCGUAUAUACUUCGCAUCGCUCGCCGUAUAAGUAGUGGCGCCAUAGUUUCAAUGCAAAGACCACGGCCGCCAACUCUAAGUCGUGAGUAGGGUAAUUCCUUUCAUAAUCCUUCAGUUGGCGAGAUGCAUACGCGAUCACUUUCCCGUCCUGCAUCAAAACACAUCCCAAUCCAUUAAAGGAAGCAUCACUAUAAAUCACAUACCCUGCUCCAGCAAUCGGCAAGGUUAGGAUCGGGGCGGUCGUCAAUUGCUGCUUCAACUCUUGGAAGCUCUUUUCACACGCAUCAUUCCAAAUAAACUUGGUGCCCUUAUGCAUGAGCCUCGUGAGGGGAGUAGAUAACUUUGCAAAUCCCUCAACGAACCGUCGGUAAUAGCCGGCCAAACCAAUGAAGCUCCGUAUCUCGGUAACGCUCGUCGGCCUCGGCCAAUCCUUGAUAGCUUCAAUUUUCCUUGGAUCUACAGCUAUGCCUGAUCCUGAAAUCAAAUGGCCUAAAAACGCCACCUCUCUAAGCCAAAAUUCACACUUUUUCAACUUGGCAUAGAGCUUCUUUUCUCGAAGCAGUUGAAGUACAAGUCUCAAGUGUUCCUCGUGAUCCACAUCACUUCGGGAAUAGACCAAAAUGUCGUCGAUGAAUACUACGACGAACCUGUCUAGAUAAGGCUUGAAAACACGGUUCAUUAAAUCCAUAAAAGCUGUCGGGGCAUUGGUAAGCCCAAACGGCAUAACUGUAAACUCAUAAUGUCCAUACCGUGUUCUAAAAGCCGUCUUCGAUACAUCCUCAGGUCUGAUCCUCAACUGGUGAUAUCCCGACUGCAAGUCGAUCUUGGAAUAUACACAAGAUCCCUGAAGCUGAUCAAAAAGAUCAUCGAUCCUCGGUAAUGGAUACUUGUUCUUGAUCGUGACUUUGUUAAGUUCACGAUAGUCCACGCACAAGCGAAGUGAUCCAUACUUCUUCUUCACAAAUAAGACCGGUGCUCUCCAAGGUGACACAUUCGGUCGCACAAAACCCUUGUCCAAAAGAUCUUGCAACUGUGCCUUCAGCUCUCUCAAUUCCGCUGGUGCCAUCCUAUAGGGUGCCUUUGAGAUCGGUGUAGUCCCGGGAACGAGAUCUACCACAAACUCAAUCUCCCUAUCAGGUGGCAUGCCUGAAAGCUCCGCUGGGAACACAUCUCCAAAUUCUCGCACUACGGGAAUAUCCUCAAUCCUAGGGGCGUCAUCCUCACCCCGCAACACAAUAGUAGCCAAGUAGGCUACGCAGCCUCUACUAAUCAACGGCCUAGCUUGAGGGGAGCUGAUAGUCAUCGCAAACAGCGAACUCUGGCAUCCUCGGUACACAACCUCCGCCUGCCCCGGCUCUCUAAAUGUCACCGUUCGAUUCUUGCAAUCGAUGGUGGCAAAGUACUUGGUCAACCAAUCUAUGUCCAACACAACAUCAAACUCCCCAAGUUUAUGCAAAGCUAGCAAGUCCACGGGCAUGAUCCAAUCUCCAACCCGAACAGGGCAACUGGGGCAAAACUCCCGAAUGUCCAAAGAAUGAUCAGGUACAACAACUCGUACCGGAUGCAACAAAGAGACAAGUGGGAUGCCAUGCAACUCGACAAACAGCCGGUCUAUGAAUGAAUGCGAUGCACCGGUAUCAAACAAUGCUCGAACUCGAAUACCAUAAAGUAAAAUGAUACCUGCGACCACAUUCUCGGCUGCCGCCGCCUCCUCAGUCUGGGCCGCAUACAUGCGCCCGCUCGGGGCCUGUCGUGACCCCUCCACCUGCCGCUGAACUGGCGGCCGUCCUGCCUGGUAAAGCGCAGAAGAUGUCCCCUGACUGGGACCUGGCGAUGCUGGUGCAGAUGCCGAAGAUGGCGCUGGCAAUGGACUCCUCGGGCAGUCCGACUGGAAAUGGCUCUCCUGGCCACAAAAGAAGCACCUACCCCGGCUACGUGAACACUGUCGGGGGUAAUGGGGACCACCACAGAUCACGCAGCGGGGAGCCUGAUGACGAUCGGGUCCUCCUCGCUGAGUAGACUGGCCACGCCCUCGCGACUGGCUCCGGCUCCUGGGAUGCCUCGGUGGCCUCCGUAGGUGCAUCUGGCUCGCACCCUCAGCCGCGGGCCUCUUGCCCUUCCCUUUCUCCAAGCUCUCGCGCCACUCCUGCAAAUCCGCCGCUCCUGCCUCCACUAUCAAAACUCGAUCCACAACCUCCCGAUAGGUUUGGAGGUUAGAGGACUGCACCAACCGAAAGAUCGAAGGCCGCAAUCCACGCUCGAAAAUGUGGGCCUUGUCCUCGUCAUCCCGCACUACAAAAGGCACACAGUGAAGUAGCCGGGAAAACUCCCUCUCGUACUCGGCCAUUGACCGCUUCUCCUCGCGCAAGCUGCGCAAAUCCUGCUCCAUUUUUCUCUUUGCACUGGUCGGGAAGUAGUGCGCCAGAAGCAGCUCCAUGAACCUCGCCCAGGAAAUCGCUGUCAAGUCGGUGUUGGGGUUGUCCUGGAUGUCCAACCACCAACGAUAGGCCUCGCCGUCCAGAAAGUGAGUGGCGAGCCACACUCUGUCCCUCUCCUCCACGAAGGUGUCUCGAGAAAGCUUCUCCAUGUGCAUCAACCACUUCUCAACAAUCUAGUGGUCGACGUUCUCGCCUGGUCGACGUCCUCGGGCUACACCUCUUAAACUCACUGAUGCGAUCCAUGAGCCGAUCCCGCUCGGCUCCCUCGGCCAUCACGGGGAAUGCCGCCCUUGUCGCCGGUCUCUGAACCGGUAGUGCCGCAGCCACCUCCUCCCGAGGUGCGGUCGCCGGUGCCGCACGUGAAGAACUGGGCGCGGGGGACUGCGCCCUCGGUGCGACGCCCACCACGGGUGCUGGCGGUGUGGGACCCUGGGUCUCCCUCGAAGCUGCCGCCUGCUGAAGUAGGAGGUCCUCAAGAUGCUUCAUCCGCGCCUCCUGCCGAUGAGCCACCUUAGCCUGUCGCUGCGCCGCUGCCGUCUGCUGCGCCAACAGAUCAGUGAGAACUGCAAGCUGGGCCCUCAAAUCACGGACCUCACUAGAUCCGGAAGUAGCGGAGGUCUCGACUUCCUCGGGAUGUGCCGCAUCAUCCGCCCCGACAGACUGGGAGGGUGUAAUCGGCAUCGCCACUACAAACAUAAAAGCGCAAGUUAGCAACCCACGCUAUCGCAUCCCCGCUCAAGAAGAUAAAACCCCAAAUCAUGCGAAAGUAAGGAAGUGUCCUUCACUACUAACUCCCGAUGUUACGUUGUCGGCCGCCAACGUAACCCUCCGCGAAGUUAGAAGCCAUACACUCCGAUCAAACUCUAACUUUUUAGAGUUAUCAUAAACCCAAUCGAAAUACUUUCGCUCACAAGUCAAUUAGACCUCGUCUCUCACGAGCCUAAUUCCUACAGUCCAACCGGCCUAAGGUUUGCAAGGUCUAUGUAAGGAAGUGAAUUCUCAAAAUCCGAGGAUUGUACUUCGUCCAGGAUCGACUGACUAUCGAGAAAAUACCUUUUGUGGGAGUUGGGAAUGUCCAAAGCACAAAAAGUGCCUUGGAGUUGAGUCCGCGAGAGCAAAUGAGGCAAAUGGCAUCAUUGGGCUGAUGUUGCUCUCGGGGACCGGUCUCUGCAGGUGAGAGACCGGUUCCCCUGGCUGGGUGUAGCGGGGUUGCGUGAUGCAACCGGUCCCUGGCAGGGAAGGACCGGUUCCCGAAUGUGGUCCCAGCGAGAGAUGCCAAAAAUUGGCUAAGUCCUGAAAAUCGAGCUCUCGAGGACCGGUCUCCCAGGUGAGGACCGGUCUCCCGAGGAUCGGUCUCCCGGGGAGAGACCGGUUCCCGAACGCGUGCGUCCGAGGGAAGCUCUCGGGGACCGGUCCCAAGUCGGGGAGACCGGUCCCUCCGCGCGAAAACUGCCCAGUAAGGGCAGUGCACAGGGGUGAAAGUUGAGGGGCUUUUAUGCAAAAUGGCCUUUAUUUGAGUGGGCUGAGCCCUCUCUCUCCCUCACACUCUCUCUUUCUCCUCUCUCUCACUCUCAUUUCUCUCUUGCUCUCUCUCUCUCUAGAGACAACAAAAAAGGAGGAGAAGGAAGAGAAGAAGAGGAAGAAGGAGAAGAAGAAGAAGGAGGAGAAGAAGAAGGAAGUAAGGAGCAUCUUUCUCUCCCUCUCCUCUUCCCAUUGGUGUAGCUCAAGAGGUAAGCUACAACCCUAGCUUCUAGAACUUAGGGUUUUUGGGUUUUAUGCCUUGGAAUGGGUCAAAUGGGCCCUAAGCAAGCUUCUAAAUAGAUCAAUCCCAAGAAUCUAGGGAUUUAUUGGGUGGUUUGCUAUAGGUGCAAACCUAGGGCUCCAAAAUGGGGUUUUUGUAAAAAUGUGAGAUUGAUCUCAUUUGAAGCCUUGGAAACCCUAUUGGUAGGUUCCAAAACGCGGGGGCGAAGUCGAUUUUAGCAUUUGGCGAACCGACGUGAAGUUCUCGGCGAAAUCGGGCCGGGCUAGUGUUGAUUCGGGCGAGGAAGGCUAAAGCCUUUUGUAAAGCUCGCCGAGAAGAAUUUCCAAAGCCUCUACAUUGAUAAAAAGGUGGGGGGUGUCAUCCGAAACUUUCGAACUCCUUUCUAUGUCUUAGAUUGCAUUUAAUCUCAUCUCUUCAUGUUGCAUUGUAGGAUUGCAUAGUAGCUCCAUUCCUUAUGCUUUCUAAUUGAUAACCUAGUGUACUUGGAACGCUUGGUAAUUUAGAUAGGUGAGGAUUGGGUCGAGACAUGAUUCCUACGGUACGAAAGAAAAGAGAUGGACCCGAUGGGGGUAUUGAUGACAUAGGAAGUAGUGAUAGUGUUAAAGAACACGAGUGGCAUCCGAAUGAUGAAUGAUGACGAGUGGCAUUAAUGUAGUGUAAAUAACACUAGAGGUCGGUGGACCUAGGGAUAGGUGGAUCCCUUAGAAAAUGCCUAGUGAACAAUGAAUUUAGAAAACUAAAUAGCAUUGCAUGAAUGUCGGGAACCGAUGAUUCCGCGAUAGUCGUUGACCCUAGUGUAGGGCGUCCUCACUUGGAGAGGAUUCGAUUGGGUUAUGGACUCUAGUUGUAGAGCCUCCUCACUUGGAGAGGAGUGGAUUGGGUGUUGACCCUAGUUACAGUGUAUUCUCACUUGGAGAGGUAGAUUUAGCUCACAGUCUGCGUUUUGGGUGGUAUAGCCAUCCAAUCCCCACAUGGAGGGGAUUGUCGUCGAGUACUCCGGAGUGUCGCGCGACUAGGACCACUUGGAGGUCCGGACCACAUGGAGGUCCGCAGACGAUCCCGGGCUUGGGUGCACGUGGAGCUCCCUCCCCACUUUGGGAUUUGAAGGUGAGUCAUGGGCGAGCCCUAGGGCCUCGCCACAGAUUGGGUAAAUGAAAAAGGUUAAAGGUUUAUAAAUGUCAUUGAACAUUACUAUUCGAACAUGUAUCGAAUUUGUUAGCGUAGUAGCAACCUUUAUUAUAUGAUGCAUGCAUUCAUAUUCAUGAUUAUGGGCAUAGUAGCAUAGUUUUUCCUACUAUCGCAUUUACAGUUUUCAGAUACAUAUCUAUCUAUUUGUUGUUACUCGUGCCCACUUGGACCUAGUGGGGAGAUUGGCGGAGUCGGCGGCCGAGCCCGUGUUGAAUGUGUAGUUUUAGAAUUUAAAGUCCUGGGUAAAUUCUUGUACACAUUCCUGUGGUUGAGCCUUGGGCGGGCAGAGGAGGUGCUGUCCAUUCGGCGGUCUGUCGCCGCGGCCGAAUCACGCCAAAUUGGUAGUGGUUUCGGGGCAGGGCGUGACAGUCCACUAAGACUCAACCCUCGGCUCUGAUACCAAAUUAAUCUGUCACGCCCCGGGACCGGCAGAGGCCCUCCCGGUAGCAUGCCCAGACCCGCCAUAUGUCUACACAUAUAAGGCGUCUACAACAACAGCGGAAAUAAAGCGAGAGAUAGAACCAAUAGAAUGAAUAGCAACUAAUGAUAUCAGAGCGAGUAAAGUUCUAUCAUCUAAACCAGAGUAAACAGAAACAUAGCUAAACCAUGAAAGAAAAUAUUAGUACAAUAUCAAUGUCUAGUACAAAAAUGACGGUCUGUAGUAUACGGGUAAACUCUCAACCUCUCACAAAAUAAAACAUCGAGAGGUAGACCACCUAUCGAAUCGUCCUCGAAAGAAGCUAGCUCGAAGCAACUCCCUUCCCGCGGUCCCUAGCCUCUCCCGGCGUGGAUGGCUCUGAAAACAUCAAGAAAACGAGGGCGUGAGAACUAUAAUUUAUAGUUCCCAGUGGGCAAUUACUGAUCUCAGUUCAAGGCACCACUAGGCCCUAAAAGAAAAGGGUAAGUAACGACAAUAAUAAUACUUGGAGAGCCAAUUAACUCCCAAGAUGACAUCAAAUCCCCACAUCUGCUUAAGCACUAGCAAGUCCGCCGGCAUGAUCCAUUCGCCGAUCUGAACAGGACAAGCUAAGAACUCCUCGUGAACCCUAAACGAGUGUUCUGGUGCGUUAACCCACCAAUAGUCAUAAUUAUGCACUAUCUCCAUGCCAUGAGUCUUAGCAAACGAUGUACCAAUGAAUGAAUGUGAUGCACCCGUGUCAAACAAUGCUCUUGCUCUAAUGCCAUUAAUCAAAAUAAUACCUGCCACGACGUCGUCGGGUACGGCAGGCCGCUCCUCCACCUGAGUGGCGAAAAACCGUCCACUCGGUGCACGUGAUCCCUCCAGCUGACGCAGUGACGACGCGCGCCCAACCGACAUUGCAGGUGGUAGUCCUGCAAGCUGUCGCGGAGCAUACUGAGCCGAAGCAGCUGACGGAGCAGGUGAUGCGCCGCCCGGGCAAUCCCAACUCAUGUGUCUCGCUUGGCAGCAUCGGAAACACCUCCCGUCACGCUGAGAACAAUCACUCGGCUUGUGAUUUCCACCGAAGAUCACACACGGGAAGGAAGUCGUCUGACUCCUUGACUGGCCUCUGCCUCCCCACCACUGCGAUCUUGGGUACCGAGAGGGUCGCUUAGAACUCGACUGCCCUGCAGAACCACCAGCCGGUCGCUUCUUGGACUUCUCCUUGUUCUUGUCCCUUUCAAACGCCUCGCGUUCCUCGCGCGCAAUGGCGUUGCCGCGCUCUAGCAAUAACACGCGAUCGAGUACCUCUUCGCAGGUCUUCAGCUGGAGUGCAUGAAUAGUCUUGAACAUUUUCGGCCACAACCCGCACUUAAAGACCUCCGCUCAGUCCCGGUCUCCAUGAACCAAGCCCGGAACACAAUCAACCAUGUGCGAGAACUCCCUUUCGUACUCCCGCACCGUUCGGUUUCCUUGCCUUAAUUUGCGAAA